rnacentral:lncRNA from 1 species
CAGUGAAUGACCUGCCCAAGGCCACACAUCCGGCACAGCACCAGCCCCAGCUAAACUUCUCCCUAAGGAUGGCAUGUGUCUGCUCCUCUUCCCUUGGGAUCAGGGAAGAUAAGUGAAGAAACUGAGUGUCCUUGAUCUCGAGAUACUGUCAGACUAUCAUUGUAUACCUGAAAAAGGAAAUUUAAGAGGACCUCAUCCAGGAUAUCACAUUACAUUUAGUCAUCAAGUGUCUCUAAGACUCGUCUUGGUUACAGCAGUUCCUCAGACUUUCCUUCCUUUUGCUGACCUUGAUAGUUUUGAGGAGUAUGGGUAAGUAUUUUGAAGGAUGCCCCUCUAUUAG